GUGAAAUGCCAGGACCUUUAGACGUCAAAUUUUGAAAAAAAUAAUUGCAAGACAUUAAACUGAAAUAAUAAGAAGAGCCUAUUUAAUUUUUUAAUUCAAAUUAUCAAAUAACACCAUAUUUCAUCGGUCCCAUCAAUUACUAUCAAGAAUAAAGCCAGAUUUCCACUUGUGAGAAAAAGUUCGCUGCCGAAAGUUUUUCGCCAAUUUCUUUUGAAUUGUGAGCGGUCAAAGUUACAACGAAUUUAUUCGGAUGAUCACAAUUCAAAAAUAUUUCGACGACGAAAUAUUUCUCUGCGAGUGGAAAUCCACACUAAGAACUAUAAUAAAUAAACUUUUUAGGGGAUAAAGUUAAAUUAGAAAAAAACCCAGGACAUUUUCUGUCGUCUUUGUGAGCUUGCUUUAUAUGCUGCAGUGAGCCAGGUAGCUUUUGUAUGUAUCUGAACUAAGAAAAGAUUAACAAGCGUUCGUUUAUAGCCAAUGGAACCAUUCUCUAAUGAAUAAAAUUUUGAUCUAGACAAGUCUAGACAAAAAAUUCAUCACAGCUUGAAAGAGCAUCACAGAAUUAGUAAUAUUCCGAAGUUUCGUUGCGAAAUGUUGUAAAAUGCGGAUAGUAUGGCCCUGCGAAA
rnacentral:lncRNA from 1 species